AGUAAAUUAAGGCUUAAACAUAAUAGGCACAGGCAACAGGGAAUAACGAGCCAUCUAAUCAGAGUUCUGGGAUAUCGAACUUACAUACCAGUGCUCUGAUUGGACGGCUCGUUAUUCCUUGUUGUGCCUAUUGCCUGUGCUAUUAUGUUUAAGUCUUUACAUCCAUGUUGUUCGCCAAUGUUAAACAAGGAUGAGAUAAUCGCUCAAAUGUCGUAGAUGGAAAACACCCCUUGAAACGAAGUGAAAAUUACAAAAGUGAACAAAUUUACUAGAUACAGAGUCGAUUCGAUUUAAACCCUCGAUGGAAACUAGGUUAGUGGCAGGAAGAUAAAAGCCGCAGCUUGUGUCACUAUCACUCUAACUUUUUCUGAGCGCCAUACGCCCUAAUCCAAUCAGCGCGAUUCGGAUCACAUGCCCGGUUGCAGAAAGUGUUGUACCCUCGACGCUUGGCACAUGCGAAUAAUUACUGCUUCUUGUCAUCAAUUCUGGCAAAACAU